rnacentral:rRNA from 1 species
CCUACGGGGGGCAGCAGUCGAGAAUCAUUCACAAUGGGGGAAACCCUGAUGGUGCGACGCCGCGUGGGGGAAUGAAGGUCUUCGGAUUGUAAACCCCUGUCAUGUGGGAGCAAAUUAAAAAGAUAGUACCACAAGAGGAAGAGACGGCUAACUCUGUGCCAGCAGCCGCGGUAAUACAGAGGUCUCAAGCGUUGUUCGGAAUCACUGGGCGUAAAGCGUGCGUAGGCUGUUUCGUAAGUCGUGUGUGAAAGGCGCGGGCUCAACCCGCGGACGGCACAUGAUACUGCGAGACUAGAGUAAUGGAGGGGGAACCGGAAUUCUCGGUGUAGCAGUGAAAUGCGUAGAUAUCGAGAGGAACACUCGUGGCGAAGGCGGGUUCCUGGACAUUAACUGACGCUGAGGCACGAAGGCCAGGGGAGCGAACGGGAUUAGAUACCCUUGUAGUC